rnacentral:lncRNA from 1 species
UGUUAAGGUCUGGUAGCUAUGACUGGGUUACUGUUAGGAUCUGGUAGCUGUGACUGGGUUAUUGUUAGGAUCUGGUAGCUGUGACUGGGUUAUUGUUAGGUUCUGGUAGCUGUGACUGGGUAAUGUUAGGGUCUGGUAGCUGUGACUGGGUUAUUGUUAGGGUCUGGUAGCUGUGACUGGGUUAUUGUUAGGUUCUGGUAGCUGUGACUGGGUUAUUGUUAGGGUCUGGUAGCUGGGUUACUGUUAGGGUCUGGUAACUGUGACUGGGUUAUUGUUAGGGUCUGGUAGCUGGGUUAUUGUUAGGGUCUGGUAGCUGUGACUGGGUUACUGUUAGGGUCUGGUAGCUGUGACUGGGUUAUUGUUAGGGUCUGGUAGCUGGGUUACUGUCUGGUAGCUGUAACUGGGUUAUUGUUAGGGUCUGGUAGCUGGGUUACUGUUAGGGUCUGGUUGUUGGGUUAUUGUCAGGGUCUGGUAGCUGGGUUAUUGUUAGGGUCUAGUAGCUGUGACUGGGUUAUUGUUAGGGUCUGGUAGCUGUGACUGGGUUAUUGUUAGGGUCUGGUAGCUGGGUUACUGUUAGGGUCUGGUAGCUGUGACUGGGUUACUGUUAGGGUUACCUGUGUCCAGCCUCUCUGUCAUAGGACCAGGUCCCACGGUGAAUCUCCUUCAAUGCUUCAGGGAAGGAUCCCUUCCAUUUUGUCCCACCUCUCCUUCAACCCAAAACACUCCUGGUAAUCUGUCCCCCUUUCGAUCCUGGAAGAAAUUAAAUAAUGAUCCAACGUUGCUUGUUUUACAUGUUAACAGAGGGCCUUUUUUGUCCCAAAUGGCACCCUAUUCCCUUUUCAGGUGCUCUACUGCCAUAAGGGUCUGGUCAAAAGUAGUGUACUAUAUAGGGAACAGGAUGCAUUUCUUAAGUGACCAUUCAGCUACAGGACCAUACUGACCGUCAUGGGUGCUGCUCCACCCUUAUCUCAAACAGGCAGGUAUCUCCCUACAGCUUGGGGAUCAGUUUGAAAGCUGAACUGAGCCAAGCCAAGUUGUACUGUACUGAUCUGAGUUGCUGGAACCGUGCAGUUUGGGUCUGCUCAAUAUUGUGAAAUGGUUAUAACAGCUCCUCGCCCUCCCCUCCCCUCCCCUGCCCUCUCCUCUCCUUUCCUCUCCUCUCCUCUCCUCAACUCUGCUCUCCUCUCCUCUCCCUUCCCUUCAAACUAAUUGACUUUCAUUUGUCUUCUUCGCCUUCCUCUACUGUCGUGUACCUUCUGAAUUCAUCAGUCGUAGCAAGUUGUCAAUUAAAAAGGCAUCACCCACUAAAACUGAUGGCUGACUUCAUGUUAAUUAAUAUCUAGGCUUUAUGAUGUGUGAUACUGGCCCCAGUACAGCCCUUUGGUAUGUGAUGAGCAUUUAACAAAUUACACCCUAUUCCCUAUUCCCAUAGGGCUCUGGUCAAAAGUAGUACACUAUAUAGGGAAUAUGGUGCCUUUUGGGAUGCGGUCAAAGCCACAUUGUGGAAGCUAAGACCUAAUGCUCGUCUGUUGAAAUGAAGACAGAUGCUGAAAUGGCCUUAAAGGAAAAGUUCUGGAUUUUUCUGGACUGAUUUCUUCAUCCCGCCCACACCCUACUGGCUUUCUGUCCGACUCGACUCCCACUCGCUACAGCAAGAACUGGUCCCAAACCAAACCCUUGUCCAGCAAUGUUAUUUUAGGCAUAAGCGAUGCAGCUCACUUGCCAUCCAUGGUCCUAGCUAUUUAUGCGCCAAUUAUAGGCAAUAUCAAAAUCUGCAAAAAAUAACCUAAGAAAUAGGUAAAAUUAGCAGAGAAAUUUAAGGGCCCAUUAUAUUAAGCUGCCUGUAUUACUGGGCUAUAUCAGUCAAUAUGAUAGAUGUAGUUUGGAGAGAAAAGAGUUGGAGAGACUUGCACUUUCUCUUGAGCUAUUUUAAUAGCCUGCCUUUUAGGAGUGGGAAGAUUUUCAGACGGAGACUAAUAUGGGUGAUCAAUAUUUAUUUCUAGCCAAUGCAAUAAACUACAGCCUCAUCAUAUUUAGGAAGUACAUUUCCUUGGGAAGAUGACUGUACUGUGCUUCUAUGUCCAUGCAUAGUCUAUAGCCUACUCUAGUUAAUUGAGAUCACACUCGCACCUGAUCUCGCACCUCUGGCAACUGAUCUGGAUGCAGCAGGAAUAAUGACAGCGAGCUACACUUGCAAUUUCCCUUGAGCUACGUUUUGCAUAUAAGAUAUAUAUCCUACCUUUUAGGAGGACGAUUAACAUAUAGGAUAUAUUCUACCUUUUAUGAGGACGAUUAGCAUAUAGGAUAUAUCCUACCAUUUAGGAGGACGAUUAGCAUAUAGGAUAUAUCCAAACUUUUAGGAGCAUGAUUAGCAUAUUGGAUAUAUCCUACCUUUUUGGACUAAAAUUGAGCUUUUUGGCCAUCAAGGAAAACACUAUGUGUGGCGGAAACCCAACACCUCUCAUCACCCCGAGAACACCAUCCCCACAGUGAAGCAUGUUGGUGGCAGCAUCAUGCUGUGGGGAUGUUUUUCAUCUGCAGGUACCGGGAAACUGGUCAGAAUUUAAGGAAUGAUGGAUAGCGCUAAAUAAAGGGAAAUUCUUGAUGGAAAUCUGUUUCAGUCUUCAAGAGAUUUGAGACUGGGACGUAGGUUCACCUUCCAGCAGGACAAGGACCCUAAGCAUACUGCUAAAACAAUUCUCGAGUGAUUUAAGGGGAAACAUUUAAAUGUCUUGGAAUGGCCUAGUCAAAGCCCAGACCUCAAUCCAAUUGAGAAUCUGUGGUAUGACUUAAAGAUUGCUGUACACCAGCGGAACCCAUCCAACUUGAAGGAGCUGGAGCAGUUUUACCUUGAAGAAUGGGCAAAAAUCCCAGUGGCUAGAUGUGCCAAGCUUAUAGAGACAUACCCCAAGAAACUUGCAGCUGUAAUUGCUGCAAAAGGUGGCUCUACAAUGUAUUGACUUUGGAUGGGGUGAAUAAUUAUGCACACUGAAGUUUUCAGUUUUUUUGUCUUAUUUCUUGUUUGUUUUACAAUAAAAAAUAUUUUGU